UGGCCGCGGGGAAGGGGCGCGCCUCGGAGAGGACCGGCCGCCGCCUCCGGCCCCGCCGCUCCCCAGCUUCCCGGCGCCGGUUAGUCAGCCCCGCGGUGCGGGCGGGCGCCGGGCCGCGCGCCUCUCGUCCGGGCCCUCGCCGCCGUCCCCGCGACCUCCCCCCGCAGUUCCCGGGGAGGGGGGCGGUCGGUGCCUGCGCAGAGCCGCCUCCUCCCCGCCCCCGCCCCGCCUCCCCUCCCCCCGCGCCUGCCGCCGCCGCUGCGCCUGCCGCUCCUCGCCGUCCCCGCUGCAGUGCGAAGGGCUCGAAGAUGGCCGGUUGGCAGAGCUACGUGGAUAACCUGAUGUGCGAUGGCUGCUGCCAGGAGGCCGCCAUUGUCGGCUACUGCGACGCCAAAUACGUGUGGGCCGCCACGGCCGGGGGCGUCUUCCAGAGCAUUACGCCAGUAGAAAUAGAUAUGAUUGUAGGAAAAGAUCGGGAAGGUUUCUUUACCAACGGUUUGACUCUUGGUGCGAAGAAGUGCUCAGUGAUCAGAGACAGUCUGUAUGUGGAUGGUGACUGCACAAUGGACAUCCGGACAAAGAGUCAAGGUGGGGAGCCAACAUACAACGUUGCAGUGGGCAGAGCUGGCCGAGCCACAGCACUAUUUUGAAGAUGACAGGUCAAGAUUCAAAGGUGUCGUUUUUGGUCAUGGACCAAAGUGAAGCCUAGUUGCUCUGGAGAGAAAUAAUUCGGAUGACCUUGGACUGGUGAUGAAGUGGUAAAAUAUAAGUUAGAAUGCCUGGGUUCCCAUCCUGAUCAUGUUAUGUAUUACCUAUGUAUUCUUGUGCAAGACGCUUACCAUCUAUAUGUUUCAGCAUUCUCAAAGAAAAACAUUUUAACUAUGUUUUAGGACUGUUGUGGAUUAAAAGGGAUAAUGCAAGUAGAGUACUUUACAUAGUGUUUGGUGCAUAUACAGCCUCUUAACCAAUCACCACCUGAUGAAACUGGCCCAAUGGAUAUGCUGGCAUAUGACAUGAUACACUGAAGGCUGUGGCUAGGAGGCCCAGCAGAUGAACUGUAUGCUUACAAGGAAUGAGCAGCAGCGGCCACUGAACCUUGAACCGUACGAACCAGGGGUUCUCAACUGGGGAUGAUUCUGCCCUCCGAGGGACAUUUGGUGACAUCUGAAGACUUUUCAAAAUUAGGAGCUGGUGCUGCUGACAUCUAGUAGGCCACUAGAAUAUUGGUGUACACUCUUCCACAGCCCACUUCAACAACCUCAGAUUUAUAUGUAUCCUUGAUACUUGGGUGUUCUAAUGUAGUAAUUAUUUUUCUUUUCCUUCAUGUAAGUGUGUUUAAACAAAAACCUUGAGCAGCCUCAGGUACACUUGGGGUUUAAAGUGGAGGCAUUAGGCCUACAUUACUUCGGCAUAAAGCAGGAUUUCUUGUAGAUGACUACAUUGGGCUGUCAUUACAACUCUCAAUAAAAAAAAAUAUUAUAUAUAUAUAUAACUUUUAGAAAACAAUCAUACUAUUAUCACAUGUAACAAAACACUAAUUUCGUAAUAUCAUCCAACACCCAAGGCAUAUUCAAAUUUCCUCAGUUGUCUCAAACCUGUAUUUUUAAAGAUAAAUUUCCUCUAUUGUCUCAAACCUGUCUUUUUACAGAUGAUUUAUUCAAACUAGUAUCCAAACAUUGCAUCUGAUGUUUAUAGUGUUUGGGUAAUGAUUUGUAAAUCUCUUAAUCUAACAAGUCUUGCCCCCUUUAUAUACUUGUGAAAGAAACUGGAUGGCUUGUCCUGUAACGGUAUUUACAUUUUGGAUGUGGUGAUUGCACACAUGAUUGUUUUUUAAGAUGGCUACGGUACUACAUUAAUCAUUCCAUAUUCAGACCAAAACUUCUACUGGCUCAAUACUACCGUUAUGCAAAUUAGGGAAAAAGCAAUACUUCUUCAAGGCACUUUAUUGCUAUCGGCCAAAAAAUAAUGAUCACAAAUACAAAAAUCUCUGAUGAAGAAGAAUGAAUGCUAACUUCCCAGAGCUAUGCAGUGUACAAUGUGUGAUUGUAUGUUGCCACCUGAACUCAGAAUUCUUGGUAAGGCAACUUCCCACAAGUAAGAAAAAGUAGGUGGGAUUCCUUUUUGGCAAACUGGAUUACUUCAAUCCUUAAACUGAAGAGGCAUAAAGAACAUCAGUUUUCAACACUGUCAUUAUCCUCAGUGGUGAGCCUAACAGGCUUUUCAUACUCUAAGACUGUGUAGCCCCAAGCAUCUUGACUAAGGAAAAAACAAACAAACAAAACAAGUGUAACAUUUAGGCAAAAGAAUAACUUUAAAAAAAUUAAAAUGGUCUCCAAUUCUAUGUUUUGAUUUUAUCCUUUCUAUAGUUAUGAUAAAAAGUAGACUUCUUCACACAAUACAACUAUCAAAAUGUGUUUAUCUGCCCCUUUUAACAGGAAAUCCAUCCAUUAAUGAUUGGUUCUAAAUUUCUUAUAUUUUGGCGUACAAUGGAAUAAUCAUAGGUAUGCUGAGAAUAAAGUUUUAUACUGUCGAACCAUUUGUGAAAAUUAAAAACUAUCUACUGUCAAUGGAUACAAAAGAAGAUAUUUUAGCAAAGGUUUGAACUCUGACAGCUGAUGGUUAGUUUUAAUAUUUUUAGGACCAGUGUAACUGAACUUAAAUGGUUUGUGAUUUAACUACAAUUUGGAGCAAUGAGCAAAUAUCUGAGUUCCUACUAAGUGCCAUGCUAAGUAUGAAUGUUACUUGGAAACUAAAAAUAAUGUAAUUAUUCAAAGAAAAAUAUCUUUAAGAUGUAGACUAAUAAAUAUGUGAGGCCUAUCUCAUUUUAUGUAAUAGGAAUUCGCAUAAAGAUACAGGUUUCCUUUGAUAUAUAUUCACUAUUGCAUCCCCAAUGUUUAGGUAGAACAUUAUGUCUAGAACACAGCAAGUUCCCAAUAUCUAUUUACUGAAUGCAUAAACAGAUGUUUAAAUCUGAAAUUUACUGUGUAAGCUAACAUAUAAGUUACUUAAGGACGGUAUUUUUAAAAUAUAUUUUUAAAGCAGUCUGUAUAAAUCAGUAA